AAAAAAAAACUGGCAGCCCAAUCUUAUGCCUGCGUAUUCAGACGUAAACCCCAUUUCAGUUCAGUUUGGCUGGAUUUGUUACUAGCAGUGAAAAAACACAGUUUCCAGUUUAACGUCAAGACAGGUACAGCACUAAUGGUUCCAGCUCCAAUGGCCAGCUUUCCUUUGCAAAAGUUAGAGAUUACCUCCCAGAGUUAAUGGAGCUAGUUCCCAGACAUAUUCAACCCUAUGGGCACUACAGGAAGAAAUUGAGCAGUUGGUACCAAAGAGCAGCUGACAGUUGGGCCAUGAUAGGCAGAGGAUGAGAAAAGACAGAAACUAUCUCGGGAAGUGAAGAAGCUUUUGAAGCUGAUACGGCAGCCUGAUGCGCUGUUUCCCACAAUAAGGCCCUAAGUUUCUUGCUUGUUUCAUAAGCUCAACAAUGUUGAUGACUAACUUGUAGGGAAGUAUUAAUGACAUAUCCCUUGUACACAGCAAACAGAGGGAGUGCCAAUAUAUAG